AUUGAACGCUGGCGGCAGGCCUAACACAUGCAAGUCGAGCGAGCGGCGGACGGGUGAGUAAUGUCUGGGAAUCUGCCUGAUGGAGGGGGAUAACUACUGGAAACGGUAGCUAAUACCGCAUACCAUCGGAUGUACCCAGAUGGGAUUAGCUAGUAGGUGAGGUAAUGGCUCACCUAGGCGACGAUCCCUAGCUGGUCUGAGAGGAGGACCAGCAAAAAUGUAACGUAGACACGGUCCAGACUCCGACGGGAGGCAGCAGGGGGGAAGAUCGCACAAUGGGCGGAAGCCUGAUGCAGCCAGGCCGCGUGGGUGAAGAAGGCCUUGGGGUUGUAAAGUACUUUCAGCCGGGAGGCGUUACCGGCAGAAGAAGCACCGGCUAACUCCGUGCCAGCAGCCGCGGUAAUUC
rnacentral:rRNA from 1 species